GGAGUUUGGGCCGUGUCUCAGUCCCAAUGUGGCCGUUCACCCUCUCAGGCCGGCUACUGAUCGUCGCUUUGGUGGGCCGUUACCCCGCCAACUGGCUAAUCAGACGCGGGUCCAUCUCAUACCACCGGAGUUUUUCACACUGCAUCAUGCGAUGCUGUGCGCUUAUGCGGUAUUAUCAACCGUUUCCAGUUGUUAUCCCCCUGUAUGAGGCAGGUUACCCACGCGUUACUCACCAGUCCGCCACUCUAGGAGAAGUGCAAGCACUUCUCUUGCCGUCCGACUUGCAUGCUUAAGACGCGCCGCCAGCGUUCGUU
rnacentral:rRNA from 1 species